UACGGGGGGAGCAAGCGUUGUUCGGAUUUACUGGGCGUAAAGGGCGCGUAGGCGGUCAGCACAAGUCAGUUGUGAAAUCUCCGAGCUUAACUCGGAAAGGUCAACUGAUACUGUGCGACUAGAGUGCGGAAGGGGCAACUGGAAUUCUUGGUGUAGCGGUGAAAUGCGUAGAUAUCAAGAGGAACACCUGCGGCGAAGGCGGGUUGCUGGGCCGACACUGACGCUGAGGCGCGAAAGCCAGGGGAGCGAACGGGG
rnacentral:rRNA from 1 species